UAGGCGAUGGACAACAGGUUGAUAUUCCUGUACCACCUCCUCACCAUUUGAGCAAUGGGGGGACGCAGGAGGAUAGGGUAAGCGCGGUAUUGGAUAUCCGCGUCCAAGCAGUUAGGCUGGGAAAUAGGCAAAUCCGUUUCCCAUAAGGCUGAGCUGUGAUGGCGAGCGAAAUAUAGUAGCGAAGUUCCUGAUUCCACACUGCCAAGAAAAGCCUCUAGCGAGGUGAGAGGUGCCCGUACCGCAAACCGACACAGGUAGGCGAGGAGAGAAUCCUAAGGUGAUCGAGAGAACUCUCGUUAAGGAACUCGGCAAAAUGACCCCGUAACUUCGGGAGAAGGGGUGCUCUGUUAGGGUGCAAGCCCGAGAGAGCCGCAGUGAAUAGGCCCAGGCGACUGUUUAGCAAAAACACAGGUCUCUGCGAAGCCGUAAGGCGAAGUAUAGGGGCUGACGCCUGCCCGGUGCUGGAAGGUUAAGAGGAGCGCUUAGCGUAAGCGAAGGUGCGAAUUGAAGCCCCAGUAAACGGCGGCCGUAACAAUAACGGUCCUAAGGUAGCGAAAUUCCUUGUCGGGUAAGUUCCGACCCGCACGAAAGGCGCAACGAUCUGGGCACUGUCUCAACGAGAGACUCGGUGAAAUUAUAGUACCUGUGAAGAUGCAGGUUACCCGCGACAGGACGGAAAGACCCCGUGGAGCUUUACUGCAGCCUGAUAUUGAAUGUUGGUACAACUUGUACAGGAUAGGUAGGAGCCUUGGAAACCGGAGCGCCAGCUUCGGUGGAGGCAUCGGUGGGAUACUACCCUGGCUGUAUUGACCUUCUAACCCGCCGCCCUUAUCGGGCGGGGAGACAGUGUCAGGUGGGCAGUUUGACUGGGGCGGUCGCCUCCUAAAAGGUAACGGAGGCGCCCAAAGGUUCCCUCAGAAUGGUUGGAAAUCAUUCGCAGAGUGUAAAGGCACAAGGGAGCUUGACUGCGAGACCUACAAGUCGAGCAGGGACGAAAGUCGGGCUUAGUGAUCCGGUGGUUCCGCAUGGAAGGGCCAUCGCUCAACGGAUAAAAGCUACCCCGGGGAUAACAGGCUUAUCUCCCCCAAGAGUCCACAUCGACGGGGAGGUUUGGCACCUCGAUGUCGGCUCAUCGCAUCCUGGGGCUGUAGUCGGUCCCAAGGGUUGGGCUGUUCGCCCAUUAAAGCGGUACGCGAGCUGGGUUCAGAACGUCGUGAGACAGUUCGGUCCCUAUCCGUCGCGGGCGCAGGAAAUUUGAGAGGAGCUGUCCUUAGUACGAGAGGACCGGGAUGGACGCACCGCUGGUGUACCAGUUGUUCUGCCAAGGGCAUCGCUGGGUAGCUAUGUGCGGACGGGAUAAGUGCUGAAAGCAUCUAAGCAUGAAGCCCCCCUCAAGAUGAGAUUUCCCAUUCCGCAAGGAAGUAAGAUCCCUGAAAGAUGAUCAGGUUGAUAGGUCUGAGGUGGAAGUGUGGCGACACAUGGAGCUGACAGAUACUAAUCGAUCGAGGACUUAACC
rnacentral:rRNA from 1 species